CUGCUCAGAUUGAACGCUGGCGGCAUGCUUUACACAUGCAAGUCGAACGGUAACAGGUCUUCGGAUGCUGACGAGUGGCGAACGGGUGAGUAAUACAUCGGAACGUGCCUAGUAGUGGGGGAUAACUACUCGAAAGAGUAGCUAAUACCGCAUGAGAUCUACGGAUGAAAGCAGGGGACCUUCGGGCCUUGUGCUACUAGAGCGGCUGAUGGCAGAUUAGGUAGUUGGUGGGGUAAAGGCUUACCAAGCCUGCGAUCUGUAGCUGGUCUGAGAGGACGACCAGCCACACUGGGACUGAGACACGGCCCAGACUCCUACGGGAGGCAGCAGUGGGGAAUUUUGGACAAUGGGCGAAAGCCUGAUCCAGCAAUGCCGCGUGCAGGAUGAAGGCCCUCGGGUUGUAAACUGCUUUUGUACGGAACGAAAAGCCUGGGGCUAAUAUCCCCGGGUCAUGACGGUACCGUAAGAAUAAGCACCGGCUAACUACGUGCCAGCAGCCGCGGUAAUACGUAGGGUGCAAGCGUUAAUCGGAAUUACUGGGCGUAAAGCGUGCGCAGGCGGUUUUGUAAGACAGUGGUGAAAUCCCCGGGCUCAACCUGGGAACUGCCAUUGUGACUGCAAGGCUAGAGUGCGGCAGAGGGGGAUGGAAUUCCGCGUGUAGCAGUGAAAUGCGUAGAUAUGCGGAGGAACACCGAUGGCGAAGGCAAUCCCCUGGGCCUGCACUGACGC
rnacentral:rRNA from 1 species